rnacentral:rRNA from 1 species
GAUGAACGCUGGCUACAGGCUUAACACAUGCAAGUCGAGGGGAAACGACGGGGAAGCUUGCUUCCCCGGGCGUCGACCGGCGCACGGGUGAGUAACGCGUAUCCAACCUGCCUCUGACUGAGGGAUAACCCGUCGAAGGUCGGCCUAAUACCUCAUGGCAUCGUCUGCGGGCAUCCAACGACGAUUAAAGAUUUCAUCGGUCAGGGAUGGGGAUGCGUCUGAUUAGCUUGUUGGCGGGGUAACGGCCCACCGAGGCUACGAUCAGUAGGGGUUCUGAGAGGAAGGUCCCCCACAUUGGAACUGAGACACGGUCCAAACUCCUACGGGAGGCAGCAGUGAGGAAUAUUGGUCAAUGGGCGGGAGCCUGAACCAGCCAAGUAGCGUGCAGGAUGACGGCCCUAUGGGUUGUAAACUGCUUUUAUGCGGGGAUAAAGUGAGGGACGUGUCCUUCAUUGCAGGUACCGCAUGAAUAAGGACCGGCUAAUUCCGUG